CUGGAACAAAACGCAGCGUUUAAAAACGAGGUUUCUUAAUGGGGCCAUCAAACUCCUCGCGGACGUGAGGACAUUGAGGACAUUGCGGGACAUGUCCUCUGGGUGGUCAGACAAAAUGAGCAACAGCUGGACAAUCCUUGACCUGGACAAUAAAAGGCCCCAAAAUGUCACCUUAUGUCAGAAGUCAUAAAGCCUCAGAUGCCUCAAGUUAUGUGGGAGCCGUUGGCAUGUUGGAUGCAGGGACGUCCACCAGAGCAGCAGCUGCAUGGCUCAGUGUCUGUUAUCGGACCGUCGGCCCUUUAAGAGUUGGUUUCCAACAGACUGCAGAUCCUCCUCAUCCUCGUCUGACCGCUCAGCACCAGACGGCCACAUCGGCUCGUCCAUCUGAGGAUCGGCUCAGACCAGCGACACUCAGCUGAUGAAACUAUUGGUCUGAACAACAGACGCAUCAAACCUCAGACUGUCUGUAACCGCCUACGGGAAGCCAACUGGGUCAGAAUCAGAUUCCUCAAACUCUAUCAUGUCCAAAGGUCAAUCCGCUACAAACGGCCGAACAACGUCGUCAUCAAUGCUGAUAUAAAGAUCAGUAAUUACUAAAAAUAUAGUUUGAGUUUUUCUAUAUAUUGCGUAACCCAAAUGUUCAUAAACUCUUAUAUUUGACAUGGGACUUUAUAUUUUUGUUCAAUGUACUUUUAUUUUUAAAAAUUAAUUAAAAUAGAAAACCAAUAAAAAAGUAUUCAAACAUCUUUCUGUGAAACUCAAAACUGGCCAUCUUUGAAAUGUUUCUACAAAUUAUAUGGAGCUCAUCUGUGGUAAAUUCAGCUGAUUAUUAGCUGGAGCCUCGUCUCCUCUCUGGUGAACUCCACCUCUCCUCUCCACCAGGGGGCGCCAUGCUCCAGUAGGCGGCGCUCUCCUUGUGCUCUGUGUUCCAGCAUUGUGUCAAUAAGAAGUGGUGCUGUGAAGAGAACAAUAGUCAGACUGAAUGUUGAACAUCAGCUGCUUCCUCCUGCUGAUUUAAACCUUGGUGGACAGAUGGAACAUUGGCUGUGGAUUAUUCUGGCUGCUCUUUUCUCUGAGUGUAAAGGAGACUCAGUGAAGCAGACAGAAGGAGAAGUUGUUGCUGCUGCAGGAGAAUCACUGACUCUGAGAUGUACCUAUGAGACCAGCUAUGCUGCUACAUUGUUCUGGUACAAGCUAGAAGUCAAUAGUUAUCCAAAGUUCAUGCUGAAGCGAUUCUCAACAGGAGGAGAUAAUGCUCCAGGAUUCAAGAAAGAUAAAUUUGAUGCUCAGCACGAGAAAACCUCAUUUAAUCUGAAGAUCCAGGAUCCGCAGGUUUCAGACUCUGCUGUGUACUACUGCGCUCUGCAGCCCACAGUGACAGGAAACACCAGAUCCCUGCACAAAAACCUGCAACGCAAAGUCAAUGCAAUUCUCCACAAUGUCCACUAGAGGGCAUCAUGGUCA